UACGUAGGGACCAAGCGUUGUUCGGAUUUACUGGGCGUAAAGGGCGCGUAGGCGGCAAUUCAAGUCAUCUGUGAAAUCUCCGGGCUUAACUCGGAACGGUCAGAUGAUACUGCUUUGCUAGAGUGCGGAAGGGGGCAAUCGGAAUUCCUGGUGUAGCGGUGAAAUGCGCAGAUAUCAGGAGGAACACCGGUGGCGAAGGCGGGGUCUCUGGGGCCGAUACUGACGCUGAGGAGCGAAAGCGUGGGAGCGAACAGGAUAGAAA
rnacentral:rRNA from 1 species